UAUAGGAUCAUGCACGUGUAUUGCUACGGACAGUACAAAUCAUAAAUAAAUAGCAUUCUCAUCUUACUGGCAAGCAAUUAUGUCUGUAGACAAAUGUAAAUUGCACUCGAUCAUGUUACUGUUGUAUGGCAGUCCACAACAUACGAGAUGCACCAAAACUUCGCAAUGCAAUUCCGAGAAAACACUUAAACUGGUGAACGGUGACACUCAACGGAACAUGCUGAUGAGACUAAAACAAAUUUCACUUACCUAUUUCUAUAAUAAUUGUUUCAUUCUAAAUUGUGUCUGACAAAUGAUUUUUCUUAUAUAUCUGGAAAGCCCGAAAUGGAUAGGUUAUUGGAGAUAGUCGAAGCAUGGGUUCAGAGUAAGACUCUACACUUGCAGCUGACUCGACAAUGUCAGAGGGCGCAACUCGGUUGGCGUCACGGACCAGGCGUCGCUUAGGGCUGUACGUCGUGGUCUUCGUCGAGAACUGCUGAUGUUGAUUGCCAUGGCCGCGCGUGGUGAUCCCUCGGUCAGCACCCAAGGAUUUGAUCUGCAUCCGACCGCGGGAUGGAUCGCGACAUGGGAGGCUGGUGGAUGAAAAAAAAAUAGUCAGAUUUAGGAACUGAAUACGAAAUUUGAUGUUAGUUGUAGUGUUGUUUCCCAAAAAUUUCUGCAACACUUUUUGAAGGGGAAUUUGCUGCAAAACUGUAAACAUAAAUAAGAGAAGAUGAACUUAAGUACUUGCACAACAAGUUAUUGACAUGCAUUAGUACCAUGUGUUCCCUGUAAGCCUACCUUUUUGCUUAACAAUCAUCAAGCAACUACAUUGUCUUUGUCACAUAACUAACAUGUCAGCUAAUUCUCCCUUUACAGUUUUACAUAAGUGGUGUCUAAAUGUUACAUUAGAAAAUAACUAAAUGACCACAUUAUAGUUAAGCCAAGUGAAACAGAAUAGGAACAUAUCGCAGACAUAAAUGUGACCAAAAGGCAUACAUACUGUUUCUGAAUCCGCCUAUCAGAUUGGACACUUGGUAAUGAUGUCACUUGUCUCCCGACAUGGAAGGAUUUUUGCAGUGCUCCAUCAGCGCUACCUACAAAUGGCUGAAGAAAAAAAGGGAUGAAAAAUUACAUCAUAAGUACAUCACAUUAGAAUAUGAAAUUACGAAUUCUUCAUCACUUCUUCUCAGAAUGCUUCACGAUAUUACAAAACUGGACUAAAGUGGACUAAAGGGUGUUGGGGACAACCCUACCCCUCAUUUAC
rnacentral:lncRNA from 1 species